rnacentral:rRNA from 1 species
UACGUAGGGUGCAAGCGUUGUCCGGAAUUAUUGGGCGUAAAGAGCUCGUAGGCGGUUUGUCGCGUCUGCUGUGAAAUCCCGAGGCUCAACCUCGGGCCUGCAGUGGGUACGGGCAGACUAGAGUGCGGUAGGGGGAGAUUGGAAUUCCUGGUGUAGCGGUGGAAUGCGCAGAUAUCAGGAGGAACACCGAUGGCGAAGGCAGAUCUCUGGGCCGUAACUGACGCUGAGGAGCGAAAAGCGUGGGGAGCGAACAGG